CAGCAUAUGGAGGUUCCCAGGCUGGGGUAGAAUCGGAGCUGUAGCCACCGGCCUACACCAUAGCCACAGCCAUGCCAGAUCUGAGCCGUGCCUGCAACCUACACCACAGCUCACGGCAACACCAGAUCCUUAACCCACUGAGCAAGGCCAGGGAUUGAACCUGCAUCCUCAUGGAUGCUAAAAAUACCUGAAAAGCAAUGUGGCCUGCUCCCUCCCUCUCUUCCCUACCACACACAGAAUACGGUUUUCAAUUACUAUGACCUGAUCAGCUUUCUAGUGAGGAAAGCCAAAAACGGAAUCAAGACUUCUCUAGCCUGUUAUCUUAAUAUAAUUUUUCUGGCCUAUUAUCUAAAUAAAAUUAAAUCAACUUUGCUCUCAGGUUUUACUACAUUCAAGGAUUCAAGUACCCAGUCCCAACGUUCCUUUCUUAUCUGUUUACUGACAAUCAAUUCCUUCAAUAGCCAGCAUAUAUAAGUGACUAAUACUAGAAAAUUUUCUAAAUAAAAGAAGAGCUAAGUGGAUGCCUAAAGGAGGGAGUUCAUUAAAUGAUGAGAGAAAGAAUACAGAAAGGGAAUGCUAGAAAUACCAAAGACACAAUUAUUUUAUGUUUUUACCUAAGAGGUACGUUUUGUCCGCCUUCAAAUAUAUCUAGACAAGUAUUAACAGCAAUAACCCUAACUGCAGAAACACAAAGCUUAGUGGGGCCUACCACUUUUUAAAAGUAUGAUGCAGUUCACCCUAAACCAGGCAUGAAUCAUAAAGAUGUGUUUUAAUACAGCAAACCUCACUAUAAGGGAUAUUUCACACCAGAAUACUACUUAGUCAAUGCAUUACUAUAAUUACACAACUUAACUAAGGCUGGUGAUAAAAGAUUUUGAAAACAAUACAAUUUCAAUUGUAAUGCAAUUCUAAGAGGCUCCCUUCUACAAAAAUACAGCAUAAGAAGAAUAGUUAAUAAAUAUCACACCCUGGCAUAAAGCGUUUUUUAAAGUAAAUGUAUUUUUAUACCAUAUGGUCACAUUAUCCCUUAUUAUACCAUACGGUGGUAGAAAAAAAGUAACAUCAGGAAAGUUUAAAUGGUCAUAAGUAAUGUUUGAUGCCAAAAGCAUAAGCACAUUCAUUCAAUAAAUAUUUAAUAAGCUCCUGCCAUUUACCAGAAUAUUCUAUUUUGAGCAUCUCCAAAGUAAUACUUACAAAUACAGGACAAGAAAUUUGUUCGCUUUCCAGUAUAAUUUUAAAAACUAAAUCUACAUGUAUGCUCAAGAUGUUUGAUAAGAAUAAAAAAGUUUGAAAUAACCUAAUAUAAAAAAAUUAGUUAAAACCACAGUCUUUUUAUUUUUUAUUUUUUUAGGGCCACAUCCACAGCACAUGGAGAUAGAUUCCCAGGCUAGGUGUCUAAUUGGAGCUACAGCUGCCGACCUCUGCCACAGCCACAGCAAUGCCAGAUCCCAGCCGUGUCUGAGACCUACACCACAGUUCACGGCAGCACCAGAUCCUUGGCCAACUGAGUGAGGCCAGGGAUCCAAACCGCAACCUCAUGGUUCCUAUUUGGAUUCAUUUCUGCUACACCACAACAGAAACUCCAAAAUCAUGGUUUAUCUCAUAUGACAAUGUUUUGCCAUAUGAGUUUAAAAAUAUACAAAACCACAUACAUUGCAUUAUACAAGCAUAAAAAAAGAGUAUGCGGAUAUACACUAAAAUGUUUAUGGUAAUUUUAUCUUAUUGGCAAGAUUACAGAUAAUUUUCUAAAGCUUUUUGUAUUUAUACUUUUCUAAUUUUUCAGUAACAGAUGUGCUUUCCCUCUAAGAAACUUUUUAAAACCUGUAUUUUACUGUCAAAUAUGGUAAUUCUUUAGACUGAAAUGUGUCAUUUUACACAAGCACAUUUUUUCAUUUCUUUCCAUGUACUUGACAAUGAUAUCUCUUUAGUACAAAUGCAGAAGACAGUUCAAUUAAAAGAUCACAGUAUAUUUCAGUUUCCAUUGAAUUAACAAAUACCAACUUCAAAUUUAAAAUUACUUCUUGGAGGAAUUUACCAUACAUAACAUCGACUAUCUAUAUUCAAAACAGAUUCAUUUUUAAUCUUUUACUCCCCUCCCCCCUGUCAAAUAUAUUUAUUAUAAGUUCCUAUAAGAAAACAUGGAGGAAAAACUACUAUUCAUCACUAACCAUAAAAACCUGAACGGAGGCAGCAGUGGGAAACACGUCUAACUGAAAUUAGUUAAGAGUAUCCUUAUGGUUUCAAGAGAUACUAAUAUGCUUUAUAAUAUUGCCAAUUUAAAUUCGAAUUCAUCUAGCCUAGAGGUUCUCAAGCAUUGACACAUGAGAACUGCCCAGGAAGUGUGCCAAAUACCGAAAUCGACGGC
rnacentral:lncRNA from 1 species